rnacentral:rRNA from 1 species
UACGGAGGGGGCUAGCGUUGUUCGGAAUUACUGGGCGUAAAGCGCGCGUAGGCGGAUCUGCAAGUCGGGGGUGAAAUCCCGAGGCUCAACCUCGGAACUGCCUUCGAUACUGCGGGUCUCGAGUCCGGGAGAGGUGAGUGGGAAUUCCUAGUGUAGAGGUGAAAUUCGUAGAUAUUAGGAAGAACACCAGUGGCGAAGGCGGCUCACUGGCCCGGUACUGACGCUGAGGCGCGAAAGCGUGGGGAGCAAACAGGG